AGGUGCCUACCUCUCUCUAUCCAGCCACACAAAGUCACAAACACAACCAAACUUUAUCCUCCUCUUUUUUCUGCGUUCUGUGAGUCUCUAACCUCUGUCUCUCCUCUCUUCUCCUCAAUUCUCAUCGAUCAGUCGACCUCAGUACCUCUCUAUCCAGCCACUCAGAUUACAAAGGUCUAGGUCAGUAGGCCAUCAAGCAAUUUUGUGGGAUUCUGGAAUUGAGAAAUUGGAGAAGUCGAGCAGUGAACAAACUCAGAGUCACAGACUAUGAUUUGAGUUCAAGGAAUCAGUUUGCAGGUAAGAAGGCAAGGAGAUGGAUUUUCAAAUGAAUAUCAAUCAACACUGCUAGAAUGUGUUAUUUUGAGGGUUUCAGAUCAAAGCAUCUUUUUGUAAUUAUUUUUUGCUGCAAACUUUAUGUUUGUAUUGAAUAUUUAGCCUCUUUUGUAGGCUCAUCUAAUGAUAUAUAUUGAUCAUGGUUAUUUGAUUUUA